rnacentral:rRNA from 1 species
UACGUAGGGGCUAGCGUUAUCCGGAAUUACUGGGCGUAAAGGGUGCGUAGGUGGUUUCUUAAGUCAGAGGUGAAAGGCUACGGCUCAACCGUAGUAAGCCUUUGAAACUGGGAAACUUGAGUGCAGGAGAGGAGAGUGGAAUUCCUAGUGUAGCGGUGAAAUGCGUAGAUAUUAGGAGGAACACCAGUAGCGAAGGCGGCUCUCUGGACUGUAACUGACGCUGAGGCACGAAAGCGUGGGGAACAAACAGGAUUAGAUACCCGUGUAGUCCCUGAGCGGG